rnacentral:rRNA from 1 species
CUUUUGGAUGGUCCCGCGGCGUAUUGCUGAUGGUGAGGCGGCCCAUGGCAAUGAUACGUGCCGACCUGAGAGGGUCGGCCACAUUGGGACUGAGACACGGCCCAAACUCCUACGGGAGGCAGCAGGGAAUCUUCCACAAUGGACGAAAGUCUGAUGGAGCAACGCCGCGUGAGAGAAGGGUUUCGGCUCGUAAAACUCUGUUGAGAACAUAUCUGAGAGUCUGUUCAGGUAUUGACGGUAUUUCCAGAAAGCCACGGCAACUACGUGCCAGCAGCCGCGGAAUACGUGGUGGCAAGCGUUGUCCGGAUUUAUUGGGCGAAAGCGAGCGCAGGCGGUUUUUUGUCUGAUGUGAAAGCCUUCGGCACCGAAGAAGUGCAUCGGAAACUGGGAAACUUGAGUGCAGAAGAGGACAGUGGAACUCCAUGGCGGGAAAUGCGAGAUAUAUGGAAGAACACCAGUGGCGAAGGCGGCUGUCUGGUCUGCUGACGCGAGGCUCGAAAGUAUGGGAGCAAACAGGAAGAUACCCUGGAGUCCAUACCGAAACGAGAAUGCAAGUGUUGGAGGGUUUCCGCCCUUCAGUGCUGCAGCUACGCAUUGCAUCCGCAUGGGAAAGCA